rnacentral:rRNA from 1 species
GUGGUGUGACUGCGUACCUUUUGUAUAAUGGGUCAGCGACUUAUAUUCUGUAGCAAGGUUAACCGUAUAGGGGAGCCGCAGGGAAACCGAGUCUUAACUGGGCGUUAAGUUGCAGGGUAUAGACCCGAAACCCGGUGAUCUAGCCAUGGGCAGGUUGAAGGUUGGGUAACACUAACUGGAGGACCGAACCGACUAAUGUUGAAAAAUUAGCGGAUGACCUGUGGCUGGGGGUGAAAGGCCAAUCAAACCGGGAGAUAGCUGGUUCUCCCCGAAAGCUAUUUAGGUAGCGCCUCGUGAACUCAUCUCCGGGGGUAGAGCACUGUUUCGGCUAGGGGGCCAUCCCGGCUUACCAACCCGAUGCAAACUGCGAAUACCGGAGAAUGUUAUCACGGGAGACACACGGCGGGUGCUAACGUCCGUCGUGAAGAGGGAAACAACCCAGACCGCCAGCUAAGGUCCCAAAGUCAUGGUUAAGUGGGAAACGAUGUGGGAAGGCACAGACAGCCAGGAUGUUGGCUUAGAAGCAGCCAUCAUUUAAAGAAAGCGUAAUAGCUCACUGGUCGAGUCGGCCUGCGCGGAAGAUGUAACGGGGCUAAACCAUGCACCGAAGCUGCGGCAGCGACNGUGAGGCAUGCUGGAGGUAUCAGAAGUGCGAAUGCUGACAUAAGUAACGAUAAAGCGGGUGAAAAGCCCGCUCGCCGGAAGACCAAGGGUUCCUGUUCAACGUUAAUCGGAGCAGGGUGAGUCGACCCCUAAGGCGAGGCCGAAAGGCGUAGUCGAUGGGAAACAGGUUAAUAUUCCUGUACUCGGUGUUACUGCGAAGGGGGGACGGAGAAGGCUAUAUCGGCCGGGCGACGGUUGUCCCGGUUUAAGCGUGUAGGCGGAGGGUCCAGGUAAAUCCGGACUCUUUUAACGCUGAGGCGUGACGACGAGGCACUACGGUGCUGAAGUGAUAAAUGCCCUGCUUCCAGGAAAAGCCUCUAAGCAUCAGGUAACACAGAAUCGUACCCCAAACCGACACAGGUGGUCAGGUAGAGAAUACCAAGGCGCUUGAGAGAACUCGGGUGAAGGAACUAGGCAAAAUGGUGCCGUAACUUCGGGAGAAGGCACGCUGGCGCGUAGGUGAAGGGACUUGCUCCCGGAGCUGAAGCCAGUCGAAGAUACCAGCUGGCUGCAACUGUUUAUUAAAAACACAGCACUGUGCAAACACGAAAGUGGACGUAUACGGUGUGACGCCUGCCCGGUGCCGGAAGGUUAAUUGAUGGGGUUAUCCGCAAGGAGAAGCUCUUGAUCGAAGCCCCGGUAAACGGCGGCCGUAACUAUAACGGUCCUAAGGUAGCGAAAUUCCUUGUCGGGUAAGUUCCGACCUGCACGAAUGGCGUAAUGAUGGCCAGGCUGUCUCCACCCGAGACUCAGUGAAAUUGAACUCGCUGUGAAGAUGCAGUGUACCCGCGGCAAGACGGAAAGACCCCGUGAACCUUUACUACAGCUUGACACUGAACAUUGAGCCUUGAUGUGUAGGAUAGGUGGGAGGCUUUGAAGCGCGGACGCCAGUCUGCGUGGAGCCAUCCUUGAAAUACCACCCUUUAAUGUUUGAUGUUCUAACGUGGCCCCGUGAUCCGGGGUGCGGACAGUGUCUGGUGGGUAGUUUGACUGGGGCGGUCUCCUCCCAAAGAGUAACGGAGGAGCACGAAGGUCAGCUAAUCACGGUCGGACAUCGUGAGGUUAGUGCAAUGGCAUAAGCUGGCUUGACUGCGAGAGUGACGGCUCGAGCAGGUGCGAAAGCAGGUCAUAGUGAUCCGGUGGUUCUGAAUGGAAGGGCCAUCGCUCAACGGAUAAAAGGUACUCCGGGGAUAACAGGCUGAUACCGCCCAAGAGUUCAUAUCGACGGCGGUGUUUGGCACCUCGAUGUCGGCUCAUCACAUCCUGGGGCUGAAGUAGGUCCCAAGGGUACGGCUGUUCGCCGUUUAAAGUGGUACGCGAGCUGGGUUUAGAACGUCGUGAGACAGUUCGGUCCCUAUCUGCCGUGGGCGCUGGAGAAUUGAGGGGGGUUGCUCCUAGUACGAGAGGACCGGAGUGAACGCACCACUGGUGUUCGGGUUGUCAUGCCAAUGGCACUGCCCGGUAGCUAAGUGCGGAAAAGAUAAGUGCUGAAAGCAUCUAAGCACGAAACUUGCCCCGAGAUGAGUUCUCCCUGACNUGCGUUGAGCUAACCGGUACUAAUGACCCGUGAGGCUUAACCUUACAACGCCAGAGGCGUUU